rnacentral:rRNA from 1 species
GACGAACGCUGGCGGCGUGCCUAAUACAUGCAAGUAGAACGCUGAGGGAGGAGCUUGCUUCUCUGGAUGAGUUGCGAACGGGUGAGUAACGCGUAGGUAACCUGCCUGGUAGCGGGGGAUAACUAUUGGAAACGAUAGCUAAUACCGCAUAACAGUAGAUAUCGCAUGAUAUCUACUUGAAAGGUGCAAUUGCAUCACUACCAGAUGGACCUGCGUUGUAUUAGCUAGUUGGUGAGGUAACAGCUCACCAAGGCGACGAUACAUAGCCGACCUGAGAGGGUGAUCGGCCACACUGGGACUGAGACACGGCCCAGACUCCUACGGGAGGCAGCAGUAGGGAAUCUUCGGCAAUGGACGGAAGUCUGACCGAGCAACGCCGCGUGAGUGAAGAAGGUUUUCGGAUCGUAAAGCUCUGUUGUAAGAGAAGAACGAGUGUGAGAGUGGAAAGUUCACACUGUGACGGUAUCUUACCAGAAAGGGACGGCUAACUACGUG